rnacentral:rRNA from 1 species
UUAUAUUGCGAGUUUGAUCCUAGCUUAGAAUUAACGCUAGAAAUAUACAUUACACAUGCAAAUUUAUGAUAAUAUCAUAGUGUAUAGGUGAGGAUAUAUAAAUUUUUAAUUUUAAAUAGAUUAUAAUUUUUUUAAAUAAUAAUCUAUAUGCGCAUUAUUUUUUAUUAUAAAAAUUAUUGUACUAUAUUAAAAAUUAUUAUUAUUUAAAAUAAAAUUUAUAUUUGAUUAACUAGUUGGUAAAAUAAAAGCUUACCAAGGUUAUAAUCAAAAAUUGAUUUUAAAGAAUGUACAAUCACAUUAGGAUUGAAAUAAAGCCUAAAUUUUUUUAAAAAAUCAGCAGUGAGGAAUAUUUUACAAUAAGCGUAAGCUUGAUAAAGUAAUAUUUCUUAAAGGAAGACAGUAUUAUUAAAAUAUUGUAAACUUUUAUUUUUUAUUUUUAAAUAUUGAUAUAUAUAAAAAAUUAGUAUUGGCUAUUUCUGUGCCAGCAGCAGCGGUAAUACAGAAAAUGCAAGCGUUAUUCCCUUUAUUAGGCGUAAAGCGUUUUAAGGUUUUAUAUUAAUUUUAUUUUAAAAUAUUUAAAUAAAAUUUAAAAAAAAAAAUAAAUAAUAAUAUAAUAGAGUAUUAUUAAAGUAUUAAGAAUUUUUUGAGAAGUAGUGAAAUACAAUGAUACAAAAAGGAAUACCAAAAGCGAAAGCAUAAUACUAAAUAAUUACUGACACUUAAAAACGAAAGCUAAGGUAGCAAAUAGGAUUAGAUACCCUAGUAGUCUUAGCUGUAAACUAUGAAUAUUUUAUAUUUAUAUUAUAUAUAAAUAUAAUAACUAACGUAAAAAAUAUUCCGCCUGAGUAGUAUAUUCGCAAGAAUUAAAUUCAAAGGAAUUGACGGGAGCUUAUACAAGUGGUGGAACAUGUGGCUUAAUUCGAUGCAACACGAUAAACCUUACCAAAAUUUAACAAUAUUUUUAAUAUUAAGAAAUUAAUAGUUUAAUAAAAUAUAUAGGUAGUGCAUGGCUGUCGUCAGUUCGUGCUGUGAAGUAUUAAUUUCAGUAUUAUAACGAACGUAACCUUUUAUAGAAAAAUAAUUUUUAUAAUAUAUUAUUAAUAAUAAAUAUAUAAAAAAGAUUACGUCAAGUCAUUAUGCUCCUUAUAUUUUGGGCCGCUCACGUGUUACAUAAAAUAUUACAAUACAUUUAUUAUAUAUAAAUAUAAUAUUUAAAAUAUAUUUAUAGUUCAGAUUAUAAAUUGAAACUCAUUUAUAUGAAGAUGGAAUCACUAGUAAUCGCUAAUUAGAAUUAUAGCGGUGAAUAAGUUCUUAAGCUUUGUACACACCGCCCGUCACAUCUGAAAAAUAUUAUAUUAUAUAAAAAUUAUUGUUAAAUAAUAAUAUAUAAAAAUAUAAUUUAGAUGAAGUCGUAACAAGGUAGCCGUACUGGAAGGUGCGGCUGGAUAAAAAAACAAAUUG